rnacentral:lncRNA from 1 species
CUACUAUCCACACUAAAAAUCACAUCUUCUGCUUCUGGACCCCAUGGAGUGGUGGGUAGUAUUUAAAUAUUAAGUCUAAAGAAGGAAAUCUGAGAAGCGUCAAAAAAAUGCCUUAAGAAAACAGUGCCAUGAGUUUACCUCACUAAACUACGUCUAUGUAUGAUGCACUUUAACUUACAAGGCUCAUUGUCAAUUUAACCUACACGUGGAACGACAAACAUUUUCUAAACUACUUUAGAAAUAUUUUAUUUAUUUUUAGAAAUUUGCUAACCUCAGGUUUUCCAAUUCUAAAACUCAUUCUUUCCCCAAUUCAAAACUACAUUCCACUGAAUACUUUGCCCAAGCUUUAGUGUAACAUAACUUUGAACUGUAUUUGUCUUUGAAUUAUCUUUGUCCCUCAUCUUUUACUGUUUCAAAACAAUUUAGUAGCAAAUCCCGGCCAUCUUCUAAUUUUUCAUUUAAAAACAUCCUUACAUAUUUUCGUACACUUCACAGAACACUUUGAUUGCAUAAUGUCUGGCAUAAGCCUAUUUCUAUCUUGACUAUCACAUAUUUAUUCCAAACCCUGUUUUUUUCUCAUCACAGCUCCCUCUUCUUCAAAUCCAAUUCCGUGUAUAAAUCCUCUUUAUUUUGGUCAUGAAGGCUAUAUUGUGGUUUCCUAUGACAUCACAUAUCAGAUCAAAAUUCUGGACUUUGCUUUACAGACCUUUACCAAAAUGCACUAACUUACCUGCUUUCCCUUUCUUUCAGCUCUCAGUCAAUCUUCCUCCCUGACUUGAGGCAAACGUGUUUUUCAUACUCCAGAUGAACUUUUAUUCCCAAACUAAACGUCAUUCUCUUCUUCAUUCAGCAGACUGUCAUCUGCCUUUCAUCCCAAUGCCUCCUCGAUGCUCCUUCGAAUAAAGGAUGCUAAGAGUAGGCUUAGUAUUCUUUUCCAUUCCCUUCUCUGUCAGGAAUUAAAUUUUAUUCUAUUUUCUUUGGCUAUUGCCUCAGAAAUGCAGCUAUGCUAGGUUAGACUACAAUAGAAUUGAGGUGAAGUCCUUUCUGAUUCUAGCUUAGUACAAAAGCCAUCUUUCAGGAUAAAGUGCUGUAGUGCAGAGCAUAGGAAAGGAGCAUCUUUGUUCUAGAAAUCUAGUGAAUACGUUUACACCUUUUUACAUCUUACAAUACAUUGCCGUGUCCAUUCUCUCAUUUGACUCAUAAGAAUCGUGGGAGGCAGUCCCUGUUUUUAGUGGGAGAGAACCUGAAGCUCUAGUGUAAUGCAAUAUUCAAGAGGAUAGACUUUGGAGUCAGGAAGAGCUGAGUUUGAAUUAUUACUACAAUAUUUAUACCUGUGUGGCUUUGGGUAAAUUAUUCAUAUCUCUGAACCUAAACUGUCUCAUAAAAUGGGGACAGUAAUAACUACGUAAUAUACUGCAUAUAAAGAGCGUCACAUGUAAAGUGGAUUGCUUGGCACAAGCAAACACCUAAUAAAUAGCAACACGUUAAGGGAUUUGCCAAAGACACACUUUUAGAACAUGCCAGCAAGCACCUGAAACCACGAUUUCGGACUCCAAACCCACGCUUUCCACUAUUCCUGCUUCUGAGCACACUGAUUUAAUUAAACUACUAACUUGACGGAUGACCUUGAGCAAAAUACUUCUCUGAGUCAGUUUACUCAUCUGUAAACUGAGUCUUUUCGGACUUUCAGAAUCUAUGCCAGCGACAUUAGAUUUUUUUUUUUCUUUCUGUAGCGUCGUAGGGGUGAGGUUCAGGUUCAUUAUAUAGCCAAGACCUGUAUAAUCAUAAGCUGUGCACAUUGCAGCGGACUUUAUUCCCACACUCGUAUAUCGUUCAACAUUUAGUUUUGUGUAUACACUCAGCUGUUGCCCGUCUUCAGUCUGCCUAUCAGCGUCUCGUGAAGGGGACACCCAGACCUAGCUUUAUUCAUUUAUAUCCCUGCUUGUUCCCGAAAGGAUUUAAGGCGGCAAAUGACACUGUAAGUUCCCUAACGAUGUCACACAGUGCGAGCAAUAAAGACUCUGGAUGAAAUCAGCCCGUAGAAAACCUCCGAUGAGUGAGAUGUUCACUAAUGUCUUUUACCUAACUCUCAAACGUAAACACGGAUACACCUAGCCCGAAGUCCUGGAAGCACACACUUAAGGUUCUUCCCUCAGCUUUCACGCUGUCCCACCCGUUGUCAACGGUCACUCGAAUGCCCUUCUCCGACUAGCCAAAACUGUCGCCGCUCCAGUCCCGGCCGGACCCGAGAUGCCACCCCGCCCCUUCCCUCCCUCUCAGCCCCAAGUUCCCUGAUUGGGAAGGGGCCCGGAGAGCUUUCCCACAUUUCCAUUUUAUUGGCUGCCACGGCUGUCCGUAAUCUCUGCUUCCCGCCUUCCCGCCUAGCGCGUUUCUUGGACCCCUCGGUUGCUGCGACAAGCCGCUUACGUUUGCCUGAGCCGUGUUGCCGGGGACCGGCGACCUUUCACCCCUCCCUUCCCACCGGAGCGCCCCGGCCCGCCGCCGCCCCCGCCGCCGGCGCGCGCCCCCGCGCACACGCACGCGCACAC